rnacentral:rRNA from 1 species
GACGAACGCUGGCGGCGUGCUUAACACAUGCAAGUCGAACGGAAAGGCCCUGCUUUUGUGGGGUGCUCGAGUGGCGAACGGGUGAGUAACACGUGAGUAACCUGCCCUUGACUUUGGGAUAACUUCAGGAAACUGGGGCUAAUACCGGAUAGGAGCUCCUGCUGCAUGGUGGGGGUUGGAAAGUUUCGGCGGUUGGGGAUGGACUCGCGGCUUAUCAGCUUGUUGGUGGGGUAGUGGCUUACCAAGGCUUUGACGGGUAGCCGGCCUGAGAGGGUGACGGGCAAAAUUGGGACUGAGAUAGGGCCAAGAUCCCUCCGGGAGGAAGCAGUGGGGAAUAUUGAACAAUGGGCGGAAGCCUGAUGCAGCAACGCCGCGGCGGGGAUGACGGCCUUCGGGUUGUAAACCGCUUUCGCCUGUGACGAAGCGUGAGUGACGGUAAUGGGUAAAGAAGCACCGGCUAACUACGUG